GCAGGUGCAUAUGGUGCAAACCGAUGUUGCUCCAAUAAGAUCACAAUUAAGUUCAAUACAGACCGACCCAAACCCAAAUAUUUCAGUCUGGGAGCAGGUGACACAAGACCCUGACCCUACCCCAACAACCAACUAGGUCUAAAAAUUCUCCAUGAACAUGACCCGACCCAACUUAAUCAUCCAUUGGAUUGGCUCUAGAUCCACCAUCAAAACUCAAACAUGAGAUUGGGUCAAGGUCAGCAUGUCCUAAUCCGGCCCAACCUGACCCAUUUGCAGCACUGGCAUUUAGCUAACAUCUCUUAUUAUUUUUAUUAUCUUUUAUUUAUAUUCUACAAAAAAAUGCCAAUUUCAAAAUCAGGAAAUAUUUCCCUUUUAUUCUGUCUGUCAUUUUUUAUGUCAAAUUAACCUCCUCUUUUCUAUAAAAUACUUAUUCCCC
rnacentral:lncRNA from 1 species